rnacentral:rRNA from 1 species
GACGAACGCUGGCGGCGUGCUUAACACAUGCAAGUCGAGCGGUAAGGCUCCUUCGGGGGUACACGAGCGGCGAACGGGUGAGUAACACGUGAGUAAUCUGCCCUUCACUUUGGGAUAAGCUUCGGAAACGGGGUCUAAUACCGGAUAUGACACUGCUACGCAUGUGGUGGUGUGGAAAGUUUUUUCGGUGGGGGAUGUGCUCGCGGCCUAUCAGCUUGUUGGUGGGGUAAUGGCCUACCAAGGCUUUGACGGGUAGCCGGCCUGAGAGGGUGACCGGCCACACUGGGACUGAGACACGGCCCAGACUCCUACGGGAGGCAGCAGUGGGGAAUAUUGGACAAUGGGCGGAAGCCUGAUCCAGCAACGCCGCGUGAGGGAUGACGGCCUUCGGGUUGUAAACCUCUUUCGUCAUCGACGAAGUCCAUCGUUUCUGGUGGGUGACGGUAGGUGGGGAAGAAGCACCGGCCAACUACGUGCCAGCAGCCGCCGGGUAAAAC